rnacentral:rRNA from 1 species
AACGAACGCUGGCGGCAUGCCUAACACAUGCAGGUCGAACGAGACCUUCGGGUCUAGUGGCGCACGGGUGCGUAACGCGUGGGAUGCGGCCCUCGGGUCGGACUUACCAGUAGGAAUGGGCUACCAUAACGGAACGUGAACUAAUGCCAAAGAUUUUAUGGCCAAGGAUGGGUCCGUGGAGGAUUAGGUUGUUGGUGAGGUUAAGGGCCAACACCGCGACGCAUCUUAGCUUGGCUGAGAGGAUGAUCAGCCACACUGGGAAUGAGACACGGCCCAGACUCCUACGGGAGGCAGCAGUGGGGAAUAGUGGAAAAUGGGCGAAAGCCUGAUCCAGCAAUGCCGGGUGAGUGAUGAAGGCAUUAGGGUUGUAAAGCUCUUUUACCCGGGAUGAUAAUGACAGUACCGGGAGAAUAAGCUCCGGCUAACUCCGUG